rnacentral:misc_RNA from 1 species
GCAUCGAUGGAAGAACGCAGCGAACUGCGAUAACUGGUGUGAAUUGCAUGGCACUUCUAAUCUAACACCAAGCGAAUCAUCGAGUCUUUGAACGCAAACGGCACCCUUCCAGUCCAUUCCAAAGCGGUGGCGGAGGAUGAAGACAAGGGUAUCUCUGGCUGAGGGUAAUGGGAACUGAUCCAGUGUAACCGUUGGUUAGCUGGGGAUUGGGCUUGCUCGGGGUAAUUGCUCUGGCUUGCCUUAAAAUCAAGCGUUGUGUGGAUUGGACUUUCAAGCAUGCAUUGGGGACGCAGGCUCUGCGCUAUGGCAAGCCCUUGACCGUCAUAGGUGCUUUGAUUGGGGUUUUCAGUCUAGCCAACAAGGCUGGGUUGAAGGACUUUGGGGCUGCAUUGGGGGCGCAAGGGCAGCUCUGUUCGUGGCGUCCGAUGACCGUCAUGAUGCAUGCGUGAUUGGACUUCAACCAGCAAUUAUCAUUAUCAUCAUCAUUACCAUGGGUUACCUCAGGUCAGAGAAGACUACCCGCUGGACUUAAGCAUAUCACUAAGCGGAGGA